AUCGCUUCUCGGCCUUUUGGCUAAGAUCAAGUAUAUUAUUACUAUUUUUUUUGAGACGGAGUUUCACUCCUGUUGCCCAGGCUGCAGUGCAAUGGCUGGAUCUUGGCUCACUGCAACCUCCUCCUCCUGGGUUCAACCUCCU
rnacentral:snRNA from 1 species